GCGCCUGUAGCUCAGUUGGAUAGAGCACCUGCCUUCUAAGCAGGGCGUCGGGGGUUCGAAUCCCUCCAGGCGCG
rnacentral:tRNA from 1 species